UGGGGGAUAUUGCACAAUGGGCGAAAGCCUGAUGCAGCGACGCCGCGUGGGGGAUGAAGGCUUUAGGGUUGUAAACCUCUUUCGCUAUCGAACAAGGCCCGCUUAGGGUGGGUUGAGGGUAGGUGGAGAUGAAGCGCCGGCUAACUACGUGCCAGCAGCCGCGGUAAUACGUAGGGCGCGAGCGUUGUCCGGAAUUAUUGGGCGUAAAGGGCUUGUAGGCGGCUUGUUGCGCCUGCUGUGAAAACGCGGGGCUUAACUUCGCGCGUGCAGUGGGUACGGGCAGGCUUGAGUGUGGUAGGGGUGACUGGAAUUCCAGGUGUAGCGGUGGAAUGCGCAGAUAUCUGGAGGAACACCGAUGGCGAAGGCAGGUCACUGGGCCAUUACUGACGCUGAGGAGCGAAAGCAUGGGUAGCGAACAGG
rnacentral:rRNA from 1 species